rnacentral:rRNA from 1 species
UACGAAGGGGGCUAGCGUUGUUCGGAAUCACUGGGCGUAAAGCGCACGUAGGCGGAUUUUUAAGUCAGGGGUGAAAUCCUGGAGCUCAACUCCAGAACUGCCUUUGAUACUGAGGAUCUUGAGUUCGGGAGAGGUGAGUGGAACUGCGAGUGUAGAGGUGAAAUUCGUAGAUAUUCGCAAGAACACCAGUGGCGAAGGCGGCUCACUGGCCCGAUACUGACGCUGAGGCACGAAAGCGUGGGAGCAAACAGG